rnacentral:rRNA from 1 species
GUCCACGCCGUAAACGAUGUCUACUAGCCGUUGGGUUCCUUGAGGACUUAGUGGCGCAGCUAACGCAAUAAGUAGACCGCCUGGGGAGUACGGUCGCAAGAUUAAAACUCAAAUGAAUUGACGGGGCCCGCACAAGCGGUGGAGCAUGUGGUUUAAUUCGACGCAACGCGAAGAACCUUACCAGGUCUUGACAUCCAGAGAACUUUCCAGAGAUGGAUUGGUGCCUUCGGGAGCUCUGAGACAGGUGCUGCAUGGCUGUCGU